AAUCUCUGCCCCGGGGGCUGGUGGAGGUCUGCUGGGCAUCGCACCCAUCCCUGGGAGCACCCCCUUCCCUGCCAGCACCCAAGGAAUAAAAGCACCCACCUGGGUGCUCUGCCUCUAGCCGGCAAAAGGAGCGCAGCCACCGCAGUGCCAGGGCUGCGGGGAGCACCCGGGGCUGGGCCUGCCGGGGGGCAUCAGCUCCUGCCCGCUUGGACAUGGCCGGGCACAGAGGAGGGCUGCCCCUGCCCCUGCUGCUGCUGCUGAGCCUCGCCGUGCCCGAGCUGGCGCUGGGCUGCAGCAGCUCAGGGAGGAGGUGGCUGCUUGACCUGAAUGCUACAACGAUCUCAGCUCUCUCUGCCUCCCUGAAAUCCACAGAGACCACGGCGCUGCCGCCCACCGCCGCCUCCACCGGCACAGCCUCCAGCCCUGAAAAAGGAUCCUCCACUCCCGAGACACCCAGCACACCCCCGGGGAGCAGCCGUCCCUCUCCUCCCACCACAGCCCCACACACGGGUACAUCAGCCGAGCCCCCGACAUCCCCUCUGGACACCACAGCCCCGCACCCCACCAGCUCUGGGGUGCCCGGGAGCACCCCAAAUCCCAGCCAGACACUGGGGACCACAAACGGGACCAGCCCUGGUGCCUCCACCCUGACCACGGGGACAGCCCCGGACACCCAGGCGUCACCCCCCAGCCCCGGUGCCACCACGGGCACCUCCCCUGCCACCAACUCAACCCAGAGCCCAAACAACAUCUCCAGCACCUCCACGGCCCAGCCGACGGCAGAGCCCACCUGCCCCGGCAUCAUGAGCCCAGGCGCGGAGUCCCACAUCUUCCUGUCCGUGCGCCUGGCCGGCCCCCUGGACCCUGAGAACAAAACCAUGCAGGACCUGAUCCUGUCCGAGCUCCGCCACAGGCUGCAGGUCAAGUUCCCGCAGGCUGACUUCACCAUGCGGUGGAGUGGGAAGAAACCCUGAGCGCUGCCCCACGCUGCAGCCCCCCAGCCGCCCGUGGCACCGAGGAAGACGAGGAAGGAGCCCCUGCAGCCCGCUGUCAGCCCCUGUGUGCUCCGAAAUCAGCAGAUUUCAGGACCUGACCGGCUGCGGGGGCACAGCCGGUGGGUCCCACGUCACUGCUGUGCUCCCCCCCCGGCUGCGUGCGCCGUGGGGCUGUGGAAAUCCCGUGGGUUGAAAUCCUGCCCUGUUUUUUUUUCUUUUCUUUUUUUUUUUUUCCCCAGUCUCUGGUUAAGGAGACGGCCGCGGCGUCGAUCCCCCUGCAGCGAAGUCAUUUAUUAACUGAUUAAUUAGGCAGAUAAAAUCAGGCCGAAGCAGUUAUUACCCUAAGCAAGUCACCUCGUGGAGAGAUUAAAAAGUGAAAUAAUCACCCAAAUGGCUGUGUUGUUCCUGCGGGGGGAGGGAUUUUUGGCUGAGCCCUUCCUGCAGCCCCUGUCCCACCGAGGGAAGGGGCGUUUGGGGCUGCAGACACCAAACCUGGGGACUGCUCCCAGGCAGCUGAGCUGUCACCCAGCAGCCAGGAGGGACACGAAGCCACCUCGAAGCCACCCAGCUCAUAGGGUCUGGGCAAUGGGGGAGGCUCAGUGGGGUCUGGAGCCCCGAGAGCUCACCAGGGUGCUGCGAUUUGGGCAGGAUCUGUCCCCAACCCGCUGCUGGCUCCUCUCAUUUUGCUCUGUGCGAGUCGCAGGCCGGGCUGGGACAGGGAGGGGGCACAAAUGGGGACAUAAAAACACAUCCCCCUGCGGUCAUACGGUGACCCUGCUGAUGGUGACCCCAAUUCUGGGAGAGAGAGGAUGGGGACUGCCUGGCCCUGAGGCUCUGGGCUGUGUCACCUGCUGCUGGCCACCAACCUGGAGGUUCUCCUCCUCCAGGACCUGCACACGUUUCCCAAAGGGAAAAGCAGCCUGCAGGAGCACACCCCAAUUCCCCAGGGAGCUGUUUCCUGGCUUUUUGGGGGCUUUUUUUUUUUUUUGAGCCCUUAGCACAGCGCUGCUCCUGCUGCAGCGGGGUGCAGAGCAAGGGGAACCCGGGCAGAGCCUGCUGGAUGGGGUCCCCGCUCCCCACGCCUUGUAGGGCACGGGGGAAAUCAUCCUCGUGCUCUGCCCACGCCGUGGCACCGGGCCAGGAGCCCUCCCACGCCGAGUCCCACCGGGCUGAUCCUGCCGGCUGUUGAAUCCAUAACUUCAGACCCCGGGACGUGGCGCGGGGCCAAGGCCGGCAGACGGCAGCCAAAGUGCGUCACAAAGGGAGGAAAAAGGUCCCCAAGUGCUGGGAUGAAAAGGUGACCGGGGCACUUACCAUCCCCGUCCGGCACAGCUGCCUUCGUGGCAGGGGGAGGAGAUGCUCCGGGGGUGGCCGAGCCCCCCCUGCCCUCAGCCUGGGACGGAGCAGAGGGGACCUGGUUGUGAUGGGGGUGCUGUGAUCCCAAAAUGGGGACACGGAGCUGUGACAGGCUCCCAGCCCUGCCCAGCACGGCUGAAUGCUUGCUGGGCUCUGGGUGCAGCCCUCCCAGAGCCCCCGCUCGCAGCUGGGGGAAGGUGAUGGGAGCCAGCUGUGCCUGGAGCACCAGUCCUGUGGUUCCCAGUUUGAAUUUUUCCCACCUUCCACUUCCCAACAUAGACAUCUUUAGGGGUUUCUCCUCCGUGCUGUGGAGCCUCCCCACCAGGACGGGGUUUUGCCACCAUCACCUCGCUGGGAUGAGCUGAGUAGAUGAGACAGGGACGUUGCUCGCAGUGAGGGGCUCUUCCAGCCCUCAAACCAUCCCUCACCCUCCUGCUGUAACCUAUUUCCCUCCAUCAGCAUCACCCCUGG
rnacentral:lncRNA from 1 species